CCGUUGCUUGUCAUCGAUCUAAGGUGGAGGGAUGUCGACGAUAACUGUUUUGAGGGGGAGGAUGUUGUUGUCAUCAUCACUGAUUCAGGAUGGAGGGUUGUCGCCGGACACCAUUUUGAGGGGAUGGAUGCCACCGAUCAUUGAUUUGAGGUAGAUGGCUUUUGUUGGGCACCAUUGUGAGGGGGAUGGCUGCCACCGGUCAUCAAUUUGAAGUGGUGUGUUGUCGUCGGGUGCCAUUUUGAGGAGGGGCUUCUGUUAUCAUUCUAUAACUGAAUCGAAGGUAUAUACUCCCUCUGUUUUGAUGUACUUUGCAUGUUACUUAAGUGAAGUCGAUGUUAUCCAUGUGUAGAUGAAUUCAAUGGUAUUGAGAUUUGAUAUUGUAGAUGCUAAUAAAUAUGAAUACAAAGUUAGGCAAAGUUCACAAAGGAUUGUUUUAAGACAAAGUUAAUAUGCAGAGUAAAAAAAAUAUGUGAUAUUGUGUUAAAUAUAAUUAUGAUUCACAUAUAAUUACUUGUAAUAGUAGGUUAUUAAUGUGCUGCUUUUGUUUUGUUGCAGACAUGGAUCGAGCUUGGAUAUACAUCGAGAGCCGUUUGAGCAAUGAGUUCAAGGAUGGGCUGUCAGAUUUUUUGGAAGCAGUCGAUCGAGAUAGGUUGAGAAGGAAGGCAAAUGGAUAUGUUCCCCAUGUUUCCUGUGUAAAAUUUGCAAGAUAUCAAAAGCAUUAUAGGGAUCCGGACACAUUUGAUCUAGAGGGUAUUCAUGUUAGGAUAUGCAUGUUGGAGUAAACAUGGUAAACAUAUAAGUGCAUGUGGUGACGACAAAAGGGAAAAUGUGGUGAAUAUCUGAUAAACCACAAGUAUAGGGGAUCGUUUGUAGCCUUCUUCGAUAAAUAAGAAUGUCGAAC
rnacentral:lncRNA from 1 species